GCUGAAGCAACAAAUGCCCUGCUUCCAGGAAAAGCCUCUAAGCAUCAGGUAACAUCAAAUCGUACCCCAAACCGACACAGGUGGUCAGGUAGAGAAUACCAAGGCGCUUGAGAGAACUCGGGUGAAGGAACUAGGCAAAAUGGUGCCGUAACUUCGGGAGAAGGCACGCUGAUAUGUAGGUGAAGUCCCUCGCGGAUGGAGCUGAAAUCAGUCGAAGAUACCAGCUGGCUGCAACUGUUUAUUAAAAACACAGCACUGUGCAAACACGAAAGUGGACGUAUACGGUGUGACGCCUGCCCGGUGCCGGAAGGUUAAUUGAUGGGGUCAGCGCAAGCGAAGCUCUUGAUCGAAGCCCCGGUAAACGGCGGCCGUAACUAUAACGGUCCUAAGGUAGCGAAAUUCCUUGUCGGGUAAGUUCCGACCUGCACGAAUGGCGUAAUGAUGGCCAGGCUGUCUCCACCCGAGACUCAGUGAAAUUGAACUCGCUGUGAAGAUGCAGUGUACCCGCGGCAAGACGGAAAGACCCCGUGAACCUUUACUAUAGCUUGACACUGAACAUUGAGCCUUGAUGUGUAGGAUAGGUGGGAGGCUUUGAAGUGUGGACGCCAGUCUGCAUGGAGCCGACCUUGAAAUACCACCCUUUAAUGUUUGAUGUUCUAACGUUGACCCGUGAUCCGGGUUGCGGACAGUGUCUGGUGGGUAGUUUGACUGGGGCGGUCUCCUCCUAAAGAGUAACGGAGGAGCACGAAGGUUGGCUAAUCCUGGUCGGACAUCAGGAGGUUAGUGCAAUGGCAUAAGCCAGCUUGACUGCGAGCGUGACGGCGCGAGCAGGUGCGAAAGCAGGUCAUAGUGAUCCGGUGGUUCUGAAUGGAAGGGCCAUCGCUCAACGGAUAAAAGGUACUCCGGGGAUAACAGGCUGAUACCGCCCAAGAGUUCAUAUCGACGGCGGUGUUUGGCACCUCGAUGUCGGCUCAUCACAUCCUGGGGCUGAAGUAGGUCCCAAGGGUAUGGCUGUUCGCCAUUUAAAGUGGUACGCGAGCUGGGUUUAGAACGUCGUGAGACAGUUCGGUCCCUAUCUGCCGUGGGCGCUGGAGAACUGAGGGGGGCUGCUCCUAGUACGAGAGGACCGGAGUGGACGCAUCACUGGUGUUCGGGUUGUCAUGCCAAUGGCACUGCCCGGUAGCUAAAUGCGGAAGAGAUAAGUGCUGAAAGCAUCUAAGCACGAAACUUGCCCCGAGAUGAGUUCUCCCUGACUCCUUGAGAGUCCUGAAGGAACGUUGAAGACGACGACGUUGAUAGGCCGGGUGUGUAAGCGCAGCGAUGCGUUGAGCUAACCGGUACUAAUGAACCGUGAGGCUUAACCUU
rnacentral:rRNA from 1 species